UGGGGAAUAUUGCGCAAUGGGCGAAAGCCUGACGCAGCGACGCCGCGUGAGGGAUGAAGGUCUUCGGAUCGUAAACCUCUGUCAGCAGGGAAGAACGGUCACUGUGCUAAUCAGCAGUGAAUUGACGGUACCCGCAAAGGAAGCACCGGCUAACUCCGUGCC
rnacentral:rRNA from 1 species